AGAAAGCGAUUAAGCGAUCGAGGAGUCUGGGCGGUGAGAAAAAUCUGCCAAGACGCUUGGUUACGUUGAAGAGGAAGAGAGAGGGAGGAUCGCGAUCC